GGGGUCGGGGGGUCGGGGCGCUGCUGUUCGGGGCCCGGCUCUCGGCCCCGAGCUCGUCUGCCUCUCGCCGCCGCCGCCCCCCCCGGGGCCGAGCUUGCUGUACGUGGUGCGGGGUGUCGGGGACCCUCCGGCGAGCCCACUCCUUGCCUUGAGAUCCAGGAGGUCGGAGAGCCACACUCAUGGGCUCUAUGCAAGUUUUAGGAAACACACACACACGGACACACACACACACACACACACACACACACACGCACACACACGGACACACACACACACACACACACACACGGGCACACACACACGCAUACACAACUUACCCCUCUGCGCUCUGCAAGGAAACGAAGAGAUCUGAGAAUUUACCGGGUGGGAAUGCAAGAGAAUUUUACACCACGUGGGAAUGGCGGUACAGGACUGCGAUCUGACGUCCUUGAAGGUGCCUCACCAAACUGAUGGUUCCUAGACCUAAAUAAAAAGAGAAUAGAGAAAUGGACGACCCAUCCAGCACCGUGGCAAAUUCAGAUGGCCCCAAAAGAGUGGAGAGGAGUAUGAGAAAAGGGAAGUCCAGACUGGACAGGCUUCGGACACCAUGUUUGCUUCCAUCUCAGUUGGCUUCUCAUCAUGAUCACGAGAUCAAUGCUUCUAUUACAACAGUCACAUGAAAAAAAAUCCAGUGUAAGAAGAGGCAUUAUUCUUCUGGUUUUGAUACCCAGGGGACUCCUUAGGAAGCAUUCUGCUGGCUAAAUUUCAGCUCAGAGCCUACCUCCUCAGAAACCCAACCCAUGACAACAACUGAAUAAUACCUUUAAGUGCCGAAAUAAGUAGAACUGGCAACCCAGCAUUCUAUAUGCCGCAAAAUUGUCUUUCAAAAAUGAAGAAAAAUAAAGAUAUUUUCAGGCAGACGAACGCUAAGAAUGUGUAUGUUGUGCUAUAAGAAGGACUGAAGAAAUUCUUCCAGUGGGAGAUGAAUCACACCAGACAAUAACCUGGACGCAAGGGGAAGAAUGAAAAGCACGGGAAGUAGUAAAUAUUUGGAUGAAUAUAAGGGAAGGUACACAGUUUCUUCCCUUUUUUUUUUUUUAGAUUUUAUUUUUAAGUAAUCUCUAUACCCAAAGUGGGGCUCGAACACAAAACCCUGAGAUCAAGAGUCGCAUGCUCCACCAACUGAGCCAGCCAGCUGUGCCACGUACACAUUUUCUUAAUUUCUUGAAAAAAUCACGUGAUUGUACAAUACAACCUAUAACACUGUAUUGGGCUUGUAACAUAAGUAGAUGUAAUAGAUAUAGCAAAAAUCUCCCAAAGUUGGGAGAAGGGUAAAUAAAACUGUAAUAUUAGAAGGCUACUGUAUUUUAUGUGAAGUAGAACAAUAUAAACUCUAAGUAGCUUGGGAUAAGUUAAAGAGGCAUAUCGAAGGCUUUGGAGUAACCACCAAAAUUAUGAAAGAUAUACAGUUAAAAAGUCAACAGAGAAAUCAAAAUGGAAUGCUAUAAAGUAUUCAGAUCACCCAAAAGAAGGCAAGAAGGGAGGAAAAAAGAAUGAAGUGGACAAAUAGAAAACAAACGGGAAAAAUGUAUAUUAAUGAUAAUGGCGGCUCGUUUUCUUAUUGUCAGAGAAGGGAGUUACAAAUGUAGAAGCAAGAAUGAACCAGUGGUGUUGGAAUUACCCAUAUAAGUAAUACAUAAAUAUGGAUGUAAUAUGCGUAUGUAUGUAUAUACAUACAUACCUGUGUUUAUGUCUGUGAAUCUAUUUAUGUGGAUAUCCAUAGAUAUCCAUAGAUGCACACAACCAUAUGAUUUCUAGCUGUGACCACUGACAAGGUUUGAAAGCAUCAACCAAGAGCAUAUUUAGAGGUCCAAUCUUGAUUUCUGAAAACCCUUCUCAAUGUAAAUGUCUGAAUGGCUUUUUGGAGAAGUGACUGACUUGAGGACUGGGGUAGGGAAUGCACAGGAUAAGCCUGGAACAUUUUGUGCCCCAAAGUAAGGAAGUCCCCAAGGAAUGAUGGGGAUCUGUCAAAGGCUGCAGAAUCUGGCCUGACUGGGCUUUCACUGGUGAAAUCUGGAAGAAUAUGACUUCAAAGUAAAUAAUGGUAACAAACUGUAAGUCACUGAAUAAAACAAGAAUCCAUGAGUCCACAUCCACUCUAAGUAAAUAUGUGAAUAAAUUGCAAGUUAGAUGAUAAACACACCUACAUAGUCUUAAAUUACCCCUUGUAAAGCACUUAUUGAUUACAAAGGGAAAAAGUAACUUGAUAGUGGAGAAGCCUGGCAGACACCCUCUUAACCAAAUGAGCCCAAACAACAUCACUAGUAACAGGACAAAUUGAAAUCAGAACCACCUUCUAGAACACAAUGAGAAGAACACACAAAACAUCGCUUCUGUGAGAACUCCUACCAAAGAUUCAUAAGCUGAGUCUAAUCACAAAGAAACAUCAGACAAAUUGAAGGACAUAGUACAAAAUAACUGUUCUGUUAAUCUUUAGAAUUGUCAAGGUCACGAAAAGACCAAGGAACUAUUCCAGAUAGAAGGAAACAAAAGAAAAGUGACAAAUAAAUGCAAUGUAUUAGCCU